rnacentral:rRNA from 1 species
GACGAACGCUGGCGGCGUGCUUAACACAUGCAAGUCGAGCGGUAAGGCCCUUUCGGGGGUACACGAGCGGCGAACGGGUGAGUAACACGUGGGUGACCUGCCCUCAGCUCUGGGAUAAGCCUGGGAAACCGGGUCUAAUACUGGAUAUGACUCCAUGACGCAUGUUGUGGGGUGGAAAGCCUUGUGCGGCUGAGGAUGGGCCCGCGGCCUAUCAGCUUGUUGGUGGGGUGANGGCCUACCAAGGCGACGACGGGUAGCCGGCCUGAGAGGGCGACCGGCCACACUGGGACUGAGACACGGCCCAGACUCCUACGGGAGGCAGCAGUGGGGAAUCUUGCGCAAUGAGCGAAAGCCUGACGCAGCGACGCCGCGUGAGGGAUGACGGCCUGGUGUAAC